rnacentral:rRNA from 1 species
AGUGAACGCUGGCGGUAGGCCUAACACAUGCAAGUCGAACGGCAGCACAGUAAGAGCUUGCUCUUACGGGUGGCGAGUGGCGGACGGGUGAGGAAUACAUCGGAAUCUACUUUUUCGUGGGGGAUAACGUAGGGAAACUUACGCUAAUACCGCAUCCGACCUACGGUUGAAAGCAGGGGAUCUUCGGACCUUGCGCGAUUGAAUGAGCCGAUGUCGGAUUAGCUAGUUGGCGGGGUAAAGGCCCACCAAGGCGACGAUCCGUAGCUGGUCUGAGAGGAUGAUCAGCCACACUGGAACUGAGACACGGUCCAGACUCCUACGGGAGGCAGCAGUGGGGAAUAUUGGACAAUGGGCGCAAGCAUGAUCCAGCCAUACCGCGUGGGUGAAGAAGGCCUUCGGGUUGUAAAGACCUUUUGUUGGGAAAGAAAAGCAGCAGGUUAAUACCCAGCUGUUCUGACGGUACCCAAAGAAUAAGCACCGGCUAACUUCGUG